rnacentral:lncRNA from 1 species
UUGCAAAAGAAGCACUCUUCCUGACUUUGAUUAGCCUUAAACUUGGGUUUCUUGGACUGACUCCCAGCACCAAGCACCUUCUUAUUCUUCUUUUUUUUUUCUUUCUUAAAGGGACGAUGACUAUCCGAAGAAGAUCCUCCCACUAGAUUCACUAUCUCCUUGUAGAGCUAGUGAUCUUUCUCAAAAGUCUGUAGCAAUCCCAACAGAUUGUGAUAGUUGACUAUAGGCUUCAUCAUUCUAAAAUGAUUGAGGAACGACAGGUAGGACUUGGAUAGAGAGUUCAAGAUCACAUUCUUCCCCAGCUAUUCAUAUAAAGGUAAGUCAAGUUUGCUCAAUUUUUCAAUCUACUCGAUCAUAUACAAUACAUGAUCGGUAACAGAUGCACCAUCCCUC